rnacentral:rRNA from 1 species
GAUGAACGCUAGCGGCAGGCUUAACACAUGCAAGCCGAGCGGUAGAAGAUCUUCGGAUCUUUGAGAGCGGCGCACGGGUGCGGAACACGUGUGCAACCUACCUUUAUCAGGGGGAUAGCCUUUCGAAAGGAAGAUUAAUACCCCAUAAUAUAAGAAACGGCAUCGUUUUUUAUUGAAAACUCCGGUGGAUAGAGAUGGGC